AUGAGGUUUGGCCGUCCAUCAUGGCGGACAGGAAAUAACAGAACAAGCUUAAGCUACGAGCAGGAACAUUCCACAGGAGCCGGUUCAUGUUGCUGUGGCAGCGACGCGGCAGAGCUAACAGGCUACUCUGGAUCUCUGAUGAACCCUUUCCUGUUAAAACGACCCAAAAUGAUAGAUGGAACACAAGCAGGCAGUGCUGUGGAUGGUGAGUCAGGGAACGAAGAGAAAGAUCUUCACAGACACAACACCCAUCUUUAACAUAACCUCAUCAAACCUCAGGCAGCUGUGCCAGCUAACAAGGGCUUUUACAAGGGCUUGAAUGGAGGGCCAAGUAGGUCCCAGACAUUUCCAUUACACUGUUACAUGUGCUCGAAUCGAUCACAGCAUAUCGUUUUGGAACCCCCUACCGUAAAUGAACAGUAUAGCUAAUAAACACAAACUAAGAAAGGCCGGAAGCCUCCAGAAGCCUUUUGUUGUAUUGAAAUGGAUGAACUUAGCAAAAGGAAUGAUUGAGAUGUUAAUUUUGUGUUUCUUGUACUGUUAAAACUUCAAGAAUGUAUAUCAGCAUCUGACAUGCUGUAAAUGCAUGUUUUCUAGCAUUGAUCCUGCAAAAAGACUUAAAAUUUGUUUUGAGCAGAGCUACUAUAGUUUAGAAUUUUUAAUUCAGUGUUUUAGUUUUGUUUUAGAUUUUUUUUUUUCCAGAUUUCAAUUUAUUUAUUUUUGUUUUAGUGUUUUAUUUGUCUUAUUUGUAGUUAUCUUAGUGAAUUGUAUUGUUUUAGGGCUUCUAAAGUUAAUGUGCUAACCGGUAUUAUAUAUAUAUAUAUAUAUAUAUAUAUAUAUACAUAUAUAUAUAUAUAUAUAUAUAUAUAUAUAUAUAUAUAUAUAUAUAUAUAUAUAUAUAUAUAUAUAUAUAUAUAUAUAUAUAUAAUGUUAAUUUCCAGUUUUAUAGCAUACUAUCUAUCAAAAAUUUAAUUUAAUUUUGAUUUAGUUUUUUGUUAUUUUUGGAGUAAUUGUAUUUUUAGUUUUUCCCAGUUAUAGUUUUUAUUUUUAUUUCAGUUAACUAAAUGUUUAUGUCUGGUAUUCUUUGAUAUUUAAUAUCAUUAGCACUAGUUGUGAUGCACAAUAUUAAGACUGCUUGUGAGAGACAUAAACAAAUUUUAAAACAGAACUCCAAUUAAAGCAUUAGUUGCCAGUAGCCUUCAGUAACAUAGAGCAAAAAAAUGUUCUAAAGAAUGUUGUAAUGAAUUCAUGUUUUCCACAUGGACCUCUAAUUUCCCUGCAUACUUCUCAAGCCUCACCACCCCUUUAAAAGCAUAUAUCUAAAUAAUUGUGUCACUGUCUUCUAAUAACUACAAAUCUUAAGACAAAUCACAGUUAUGGCUGCUAUCUUUCCCAGAGAGUGCAUAGCUAUCUAAAAGGACCUUGAUUUAUACAUGGCGACUGAUAAUUGCUAGUGUCUUCCCUUUUUUCAAAAAUGGACAAGGCUGGGAUGGGUUUUAACAGCAUGCUUGAAGUUCUCUAUGCAAGACAAUUAAUCUGCCAACCCUUCUUGUAAAUCAUCGUUGUUUGUGUUGGACUACAUCACUUGGGGCAGUAGGUGAUUCAAGUGUGUUUCCAUUACAAAUUAAUCACAUGUUGCUGGUUGUGGAGUGCAGAGUCACACUCAUGGAAUUGAACUACUGACUUAAUAUAAAUGCAAGAAGGUAGAGAAAAUGAAAUGCAUAUUUACUGUAUCUUGUGAGCUAGUGCAAAUACUGCUUCAAUACAGAGCUGCAAACUUUUAAAUGUGAUUUUUUUUUCAAACUUCCAAAAGCUUGCAAAAUUUCAAAGUUAUUACAGUUAUACAGUUAAUAUACUGUAAUAUACUAUAUUUCUUGCAUUCAAAUUCAAUUCUGCAUCCUGUUUGCGUCCUUAAUUCAAAGUCAGUUUAAAUUAGAAUUUAAGAGGCAUUCUCAAUUCAGUUCUUUCAGUUCUAUAAUGGAGCUGAUGAGCUGGGAAUCCAUUCUUAUUGGUCUGAAGGGCACUUCAGGUUAAGUGUCCAGCUCUAGGGUGCUCUUUAACCUUUGACAUGACCAUCAACAGUUCAAAGCUGUUACUAUUAUAAACCACUAUUUGGCUGACAGGUUAGAUAUUUGGUGAAAAAUUGGACAUUGUAGGAUUUUUUUUUUUUUUUUUUUUUUUUUUACUUUCAAUAAGCAUUUUAGAUAUAGUUAGAGGGUGUUUUUGUUGUAUUGUUUUUGAUGGUAUAGUAUUACCUAGUAAAAAAAAAGAAAAAAAAAGAAAAUUCUGUUAUUUUAAGUAUUUCAGUUCCCAAACCUUGAAAACAAACCCCUCAAUUACCAAGUACAUCAGUCUCUCCUUUCUGUGCUCAUGACCUCUAAUUUUUCCUCUCAAGACCAUUGAGAAAAAGCACCAAAAACAAUUACUCUGACAUUCCCACGCUCUCCUCUGUCUGGCUGAGGUGCAUCUGUUUUUUGUCUUUUCUUACCUUGGUGUUUUCUACCCAACAAAGGUGUCCAACAUCCAAAGUUACAAUGAUUUUAUUCUUGUUUGAGUGUAAAGUCCCAAAGCAGCCUGUAAUUGGCAUGCAAAGGUUGUGGCAUUUUACAACUAAUUUCAAAUUAUAGAGCAAACAAAAUCAUGACACAAUCCAGAGCCCUGUGUCUAAACAAACCUGCAUUUUGGAUUUUAAUUGCAGAACAAGAAAAGGAAGAGGAUGUUGUAAUUCCUACUUAAGCAACUAUAUUUUCCGCUAACUAAAACUGAUUUGGAUUUGGUCCGGGUAAUUGUGUACAAAAUAUCAGUCAGACACCCAAACAUAUGGCUGAAGUCAUGAUUGGGCAGUAAAAGCUGGACAGGAAGGAAGCAAUGUCUGAAAUGGCAUCUCAUUUCUUGUUUAAAGGUUAUUGCACCGCCACCCAUUGCUGAUAUGAUCUUAGCUGUUAGAAAGCACUUUUGAGCCACUGGUUUGACUGGAGGCUUGAAAAUUUUAAAAUAGGCACGGAGAAGAUGGAACACUUUUGCCAUUUUGACCUGACAGCAGGUCUGUCUAGUCAGCCUGGUCUAGUGGCUUCUGUAGUUGAUUGUGAAUUUAUACCAUUCAGUUAAAGGGAUUGUUCAGUAAAAAAUGAAAAUUCUGUGAUAAUUACUCACCCUCAUGUCGUUUCAAACCUGUAUGAUUUUUUUCCCUCUGCAGAACAAAAAUGGUGCUCUUUUGAAAAAUUUUGGUAGCCAAAGAGUUUCUGUUCCCAUCGACUUCCAUUGUAACUUUGUACUCAAAAAUUUGGAGUUUUUCCCCAGUUAAGAUUUUUGUUCUUGCCCAUGCCAACAUUUUACUGGUCCCAACACAAUAAAUAGUUUUUUAUUUCAUUUAUUUUAUGUUAAAAAAUAAAUAUUUAUAUUUUUCAUUUAAUGUUAGCCUAAACAGUACAAUAUUUUGGAAAAUGCUGGCAUACAAAUCAUACAUUUAUUAGCUGAAUGGUUCCAAGACUACCAAAAGUCAGGGCUUAAUGUAAGGUCAUGUUUUUUACAAUGUUUUGCUUACACUACGUGCAUAUCUUAUUUUAUUUAUUUAUAAUUUUGCCUAUAAUAACCAUAUAAUCUUGACUUGUAAAAUUUGAAAAGGUAUGAGAAAAUCUUACCAACUUUUAUUUUUGACAUCAAAAUACAUAUUAAUACAGCAUGAAGUUUAUAAAUAUAGAAAAAAAAAAUGGUGGGUCUGAGGUAAAAU
rnacentral:lncRNA from 1 species